AUACAUCUCCAGAGAACUCCCUCCCAACCAAAUCAAGCAAAAAAGAGAGGGAAGCAGGAGAUGUAUUUGCCAUUGAGCGUGCAGCUUUACUUUACAAUAUUUGCUGGUUUUCUUUGAAAGGCUACCAUUCCAAAGGCGGCAGGAACAUUUUCUGCGAUCUAUCCCAUGAUCAGUUGCCAAAAAUAGUUUCUUGCUUGAUGCUAGCCUUUGUACUCUGCCGUGAAGUUCCUGUACUUUUUCAGAAGGUUUCCAGAUUGCUGUCUGGUAUUUAUAUUCUUUCUUCCUCAAGUGAAAUCUUUCCUAUGCCAUCUUCUAGCAAAGUGCUCUCUGAGGGUCACUGGGCUUCAUAUUUUCAUCAAGCUUCACUUGGUACUCAUCUUACUUACCAGUUCUUUUCAAGUAUCACCGGGAAACGUAAAGCCGGAAACCUUGUAGAUGAUCAGGGCUCACAAGUAACUAGCUUAACAUGCAACUUGACAAGGCUUGCACCCAAGUCUGUUCAAGAUCUGGAACAAUUUGUGAUAGAGUUUUUCUCGAGGCUUCCUUGCACCACGGUCAUUUGCAUAAGUUUGAUAUGGGGUCCUUAUGCAACUCUAUUACAAGAACUACUAAUGUAUCCUUCAAGUGUUUGUGCCUGGAUGCUGUUGUCACGCUUGAAUUUCAAGAGCCAGCCUAUUGUGAUGCUUCUGCCAGUGAAUUCAAUUUCUGAAGAAGCUUCAGAUGAUGAUGCAGCAAAGUCUGGCUAUGGAGAAUUUGCAGAGAACAAUGACAUUGGUAAACAUUGGCAUUGUCCCUGGGGUUUCACUGUUGUUGAUGAAGUUGCUCCUGCAUUUAAACUUAUAUUGGAAGAAAACUAUUUAUCUUCAUCAAUCUUUCCUUUAGAGGACACAAAAGAGAAUAGAAAUUCAUGGUGGAUGAGGAGAAAGAAGUUGGAUUGGCAACUUGGUAAAUUGCUGAGGAAAUUAGAAGAUUUGUGGUUGGGUCCCUGGAGGUAUGUGCUUCUAGGAGAAUUGUCUAACUGCAAGCACCUAGGCUCUGUACAGAAGAAGCUGAUGCAUAAUCUGAGAUCUAAAUGCAAAGUGGAUGUAAAUGAAAGUUUUCUCAAGGUUAUUCUUGGAGGAGGAAAGUAUGCUUUAGAUGGAGGAGACUUUGUUGCUGACUUAGUAUCUCUGGAAAAGGGUUGCUUCAUUGGGAGAGCUCUAUAUUCUGAUGAAACAUGCCGGACACUGUCUAACGAAUUUGAGGGAAUUCAAGAGCUACUUCAUGAUGCAGUGAAUGAACUUGAAGUGGACUCUUUAAAUAGAGAACCUGUAAUUUUGGUGCUGGAUUGUGACGUGCAGAUGCUUCCAUGGGAGAAUUUACCUGUUCUCAGAAGCCAAGAGGUCUAUCGAAUGCCUUCUGUUGGCAGCAUCUGUCUGACACUUGAUAGAAGCUGCAACUGUCAAGAGCAAGUUGGGAGGAUAGUUUCUGCCUUCCCUCAUAUAGAUCCCUUAGAUGCAUUCUACUUGUUGAAUCCUAGUGGCGAUCUAAGCAGCACACAAGUUGAGUUUGAGAACUGGUUUAGAGUUCAAAACUUGGAGGGGAAAGCUGGAUCUGCUCCCACUGCAGUAGAAUUGACUUCAGCCUUAAAAAGCCACGACCUCUUCUUAUAUUUUGGCCAUGGAAGCGGUAUGCUUGAUCGGCUGUGUAUAUCACAAUAAUUUUAUUUCAGUUCUUACUAUUUUUUUUUUUUUUUAUCCUGCACUCAUUAUGAACUUCCCUUGCGUUGGUGCACAUCUGAUGGAACAGGAGCACAAUACAUUUCCCAGCAAGAGAUUCAAAAACUGGAAAAUUGUGCUGCUACACUUCUGAUGGGAUGCAGUAGUGGUGCUUUGUCAUUACAUGGGUGUUACACCCCACAAGGUACUCCUUUAUCCUAUCUUCUGGCUGGAUCCCCCAUCAUUGUUGCAAAUCUUUGGGAAGUCACAGAUAAGGAUAUCGAUCGGUUUGGGAAGGCUAUGCUUGAUGGCUGGUUAAAGGAAAGAUCUAGUGCUUCCACAGAUUGUGACCAAUGCAAUUUACUAUUGAAAGAAUUUGAGGCAUUGAACUUGAAAGAUCCCAAAGUUACUAACAAAAGGAAAGUCCAAAAGAAGAAAGAACCUGAAACUUGUGAUAGUGAUUCUUUGAAGAAUUCUUGUAACCAUAGACCAAGGAUUGGAUCAUUCAUGAGUCGAGCUCGUGAAGCUUGCACCCUCCCUUUUCUUAUUGGAGCAUCUCCAGUCUGUUACGGUGUCCCUACAGGCAUAUGGAGGAAGAAGGAUUUGUAGCAAUAUCAGCCAGUCAUUUUCUUUUACCAAAUUGGCGUGUCCUUGGAUUUUAAAGGUAACCUGGAGGGCUAGAAGCCAAGACCUAAUAUCACAAGUUAAAAAUCAACAACAGAACUGUGCCAAAUGAUUCAGCUGACGUCCACUUAUAAUUUCAUAUACUUGAUUCUCCCUUUCUUUUUCCCCUUGAAGUGAUGCGCUCAGCCUAAAAAUUCUAACAUGUGUGAAUUUUCAAUAUUCCUGUCAUUCCUUCUGUAGUAUGAAUAUGAUUUUUUU
rnacentral:misc_RNA from 1 species